rnacentral:rRNA from 1 species
UGAACGCUGGCGGCGUGCCUAAUACAUGCAAGUCGAGCGAAUGGAUUGAGAGCUUGCUCUCAAGAAGUUAGCGGCGGACGGGUGAGUAACACGUGGGUAACCUGCCCAUAAGACUGGGAUAACCCCGGGAAACCGGGGCUAAUACCGGAUAAUAUUUUGAACUGCAUGGUUCGAAAUUGAAAGGCGGCUUCGGCUGUCACUUAUGGAUGGACCCGCGUCGCAUUAGCUAGUUGGUGAGGUAACGGCUCACCAAGGCAACGAUGCGUAGCCGACCUGAGAGGGUGAUCGGCCACACUGGGACUGAGACACGGCCCAGACUCCUACGGGAGGCAGCAGUAGGGAAUCUUCCGCAAUGGACGAAAGUCUGACGGAGCAACGCCGCGUGAGUGAUGAAGGCUUUCGGGUCGUAAAACUCUGUUGUUAGGGAAGAACAAGUGCUAGUUGAAUAAGCUGGCACCUUGACGGUACCUAACCAGAAAGCCACGGCUAACUACGUG